rnacentral:misc_RNA from 1 species
UCAUUACAUUUUGGACACGCCCACUUUUUUGUUCGUCCAAGUAUUACAACAUGCAAUGAUGAGAAGUCGAUCUUGUAUUGUGUCUUUGCAGAACUUCUAAGGUAUAUGAUGCCGAAUAGAUAAGAAAAAGAAUGCUUGAUCGGUUAACAAGUGGAAAAGGGAACACCAGUCUAUUUGCGAAAGCAAGUGGACAUAUUUUGAGGUCGUUUACAAAAACGCUUUUCGCCGGAAGUUGAUUAUCGUAGUUGACAAAAUAUGGCGGAAGACGAAGAAUCAUCGCCGUCGAGUGAACCAUCCUCGCCAGUGAAAAAGGAAUCGCUUCUGCAACGAAUGCUCAACUCUAUUGUCGAAGAGAGGAACAGAACUCAUCCUACAAUUGGGGACGAUGAUUCAGGCUUUGAACUAGUCAAUGUGAGCAACUUCUGGACCAAGCUGUUCUCGCAGUACUUCCUCGAUGGCAGCACAUCACCAGAUGAAAGUCGAGAUGACAUGCUGUUUUAUGUGAGGAGGAAUAAACUUGGUGCCAAAGGGAAACCUGCUUCUUUACAAGCAGAAAUAGAAGUCUACCGUCGUGACUCAAAGAAACUUCCAUCUCUUGAUGAUAAAACAGUUGACUGGGAGGAGACAGUCUAUCUCAACAUUAUCUUACAUCAGUUUGUGUACAGAGUCACAUGUGCUGUGUGUACCAGGACUGAUGAGAAAAAUCUGCAGAUACUCAGGAAGUUCACGCAGCGAGUCUAUCCUUCACCGAGUCGUCGUAGAAUGGAUAGUAAGGGAACAGAAGAAGAAAUAACAUAUCCAAAUAUAUUCUUUACAGUCGAUAAUUUUGAAGAGGCCUUCCAAGACAUCAUUAUUCGGGACAGUGAGAACAUUGCUGUGGAGUUGCUGGCAACGGACAAGGACGGGUCCUUCCAGGGACUUAUAUUCCAGGGCUCUGUCAAGUAUGAAUCACUCAAGAGGGUGUACGAUGCACGGAUAAGUUUGACAUCAAAGAUGGUCCAGCGAAUGUCAUUAGGAUGGUUCAAAGGUCACAAGCGUGUGGAGUACAUGCGGAUGAGGGGUCCACAAGGCAAAGGUCACGCCGAGAUGGCAGUGAGUCGGGUCAAAGGGUCAGGUCCAGAAACACCCGAUAUGGAAAACUUUCCUGUAGAUGAUUUUGAUGAUCAGCAAAACCAGUAUGCACAGAGGAGGAUGAGUGACCCCAGCUCAGGAUUCAGCUCGCUGAUGCGCGGCGGGUUUCGACGAGCAGUGGGCAUGAAAAAGUCACAGUCAGAAACAGAAAACGUUGAAACUGUCGCUGACGACGGAUGCCAUGAAGUGGAGGCAGGUACACUACAAGAGGAAUUAAACACAAACUUGGAUCAGUACAAUGGCUUCUGGGGCAAGUCCUUUGGUCAGGCCUGGCACUGGUUCAAGGAACAGAAGCGAGCGAGCAGUGUCGCCCUCAACGCUUACCUAACAUACAUCACCCUACCAUGGCAUAGAAUCAUUGCAGACAUGAUUGAUGCCCGCCAUCAGCCAGCCCUAACACACUGAUGUCCCUUGUUGAACUCUUCAGUGAUGGAGGCUCCCUCUGGUGCUCGAAUCCAGCAUUUAGGCUUAUAGGGUUAUUUCCCUUAGGAUCUCUGGAUCUGAAGUGACACUCCCAUCCACAGCUAUUGAUGUAGGACCAGCAUAUCAAAUGUGUUUCCAUGAACGAUGUCUUCAGUUCAGUUGUCAUUUGUUUCAAAGCAGGUUUUUUUAUGAAUGUCAACAUGCAUGCUCUAGCUGUUGUUUACCUCAUUCUCAUAUGAUGAUUUGUUCAGUUAAAACCUUACCUGUGAUUACUUACAAAAUGGCAUUAUCAAAAUUGGUACCACAGUUUACCGAUUUUUGUUUUGCUGGGCUUGAAUUUGUUGUUAUGUUGAAGUGACAAGUUUCAGUAUGUUUGUAUUUCAUAGAACCUAUGAAACAAUGUCUGAACACCAAGAAGGAAAACCGAUUAAGUUUGAACAUAAAUUUGGUUUCUUAUUCCUUAUAAAACCCAAACAAAAGGAAACAUUGUAAACUUUUCUCUUUUUAUUUCAUAUUUAUCUGUUUCAAAAUUAGACAUCUGUCUGUUUCACAGCCAAUCAGGGAACUUUACAAUUUACAUCUGAAAAUCCAGCCUGUAACAUGGCAACAUUGAAAUAUAGAAAAUACAUUUCCUACAUAUUUAAACCAAAAAUGACUCAGGAAGAGAUUUUUUCGAUAUGAUCCAUAUUUAUUGAUGACAUUUGCAUUUUGCAAAAUUUAGUCUUGGAUUUAAACAUUUAGAUGUAAGAGUGAUAGAUAUUAGUUAUUCAAGGGCGAUGGGGUAGUCAAGUGGUUAAACUGUUCGCUCAUCACAUCGAAGACAAGGUUCUAUUCCCCACAUGGGUAGAAUGUGUGAAGCCCACUUCUGGUGUCCACACCGUGAUAUUGCUGGAGGAUUGUUAAAAGGGGCAUAAAACUAAAUUCACUCAGCUUGAUUUUGAAAUUCCCAGAUCAGAUUCUUCUACUGUACAAUCUGGAAACUCAUUUCUGGUGUCACCUGCUGGAAUAAUGCUAAAAGUGGUGUCAAAUCCACUCACUCACUCUUGGUGUGAUUGUUCAUUGCUUGUCUACUGGGAUAGAAGAGUUACUCCAGUCUCAAGGCUUAGAAGGAUCAGUAGGGUAGCCAAAUUGUUAAUGUGUUUGCUUGUCAUGCCUUGAGUCCAUGUUCGAUUUACCUCAUGGUUGCAAUGUUUAAUGCCUCUUUCUAGUGUCUCCUGCCAUGAUAUUGCUGGAUUAUUGCUGAAAGCAACAUAAAACUAACUUACUCACUCACCCUGAUGUCCCUGCCAUGAUAAUCCUGGACUAUUGCUGAAAGCAACAUAAAACCAACUCACUCACUCACCCUGAUGUCCCUGCCAUGAUAUUGCCGUUAUAUUGUUUAUAGCAGCAUAAAACCAACUCACUCACUCACUCAAGGUUUCUUGUGAAGACACCAAAGGUAACAGACGUAAAGCUUUAUUAUGACACAUCAGGGUGUGUCAUAGUUUCUGACAAAGACAUUCCAACAAGUAUCACUGAUAUUUGACCAGGUCAUGAACACACCCCACACUGCCAUUAGAGCAUCCAGCAAUGAAAUGUCUAUUUAUAGUCAUAUAGGGUUGUGAUUUAAAAUCAAAACCAUUCGUCAUGACAUUCAUCCAAAUGACCAAUUAUCAGAUUUUUACAGGUUUAUGUAUUGAUGUCAGAAGUACCAGGAAGAUCACACGCAGCAUUUGUAAAGAAGAUCUUGCUUACAUAAUUUUUUGGUUCAAAAAGAUAGAUUAUACGUCAUUGCUGGCAUGGAUGUUUAGUGGGGACUCAAAAGGAACAAUCAAUUGGCAUAUCACUUGUGUCAACUGGUUUGUGGAAUAUCAUCACUUCUUUAAAACUAAAACCAAACAAGACCGAUACAAUGAUAUAUUUUGGGCGAAUUAUCCACUCUCAUUGUAAAUACAAUGAUUGAAUUUAUCACCUACUUAUAAAAAAAACUACACCAAAACCAAAUGAAUGUUAUAAUAUUUUUCAAGGGCAUUGUGAAACUCUCAAUUUCUUUUCUCAUUUGAAUUGAUAUAAUGAAGAUGAAUAGUGAUGUGUGUUGAAAAUAGAAAGGGGAUAUUUUAGUUUGCUGUCAUAAUCUCAAUAAGAGAUGCUGAGUUUAUUUCAAUCAGGCUUUAAGUUAAUUAACUGUAUGUAUAUUUGUUUUAGAAACAAUUUACCCAUGGUAUUUAAUUGUGAAUAUAAUAAUUGAGGAAAUUCACAUGCAAAAGCUACAAGACUUAAAAGGCUCGAGGUCUGCCUCUGAAGACCCUGGUGUUGUUCGAGGCCAGGCAUUUUAUCAAGGAGAUAUGUGUAUGAUGGUGUUGUCUGUCUAUACUUAUACACAUGCAGUAUUGAUCUCUCAGCUUAAAGCCACUCUCAUUGUUUGGUCAAUGCCACAUUGUUGGUUCUCUCACCAAUCAGAUAAUCAACAACUAAUUUAUGUAAUUUAUCAUCAUAUAUUCAUCAUUCAAACAUGAUUUACUGGUUUUGUGUAGUUCAUUAAAAAUUAAGCUGUACAUACUUUGUCAAUCUGCAAAAUCAAGCUUGAGCCAGUUUAGAUGAUUUAUUUGUGGAAGUCCAAGGUGCUUUGGUUUCCAGGGAUCCCCUGCCAUGAUAUUGCUGGAAUAUUGCUAAAAGCGGCGUAAAACCAUACUGACUCCAGGGAUCCAAACCACUGUACUGUACAGAGUUGUGUUCUUUGCCUGUGUCAGGAUCAGAGGUUCCCAAUGUGCCGUGAUUAUGAUCCUUGGGCCAGUAGUCAGCAUCAUACCCAGGAUCAGAGGUUCCAAAUGUGCCGUGAUUAUGGUCCUUGGGCCAGUAGUCAGCAUCAUACCCAGGAUCAGAGGUUCCCAAUGUGCCGUGAUUAUGGUCCUUGGGCCAGUAGUCAGCAUCAUACCCAGGAUCAGAGGUUCCAAAUGUGCCGUGAUUAUGAUCCUUGGGCCAGCAGUCAACAUCAUACCCAGGAUCAGAGGUUCCCAAUGUGCCGUGAUUAUGAUCCUUGGGCCAGCAGUCAACAUCAUACCCAGGAUCAGAGGUUCCAAAUGUGCCGUGAUUAUGAUCCUUGGGCCAGUAGUCAACAUCAUACCCAGGAUCAGAGUUUCAGAAAGGGCUUUUAGCUAUCUCACCCCAAACACUGAUUAGAGCAUUAAACCUUGUAUUAAAUCAUUCAAUGUAUAUAUUUUGGACCCAAACACUAUUGUUUGAACCUUGACUGAUGAGGAUUGUAGUGACAGGGCCUGGAAAGGAACAUGGCCCUGGACUCUCACAGACUCCCAAAGAACUAUAAAUAUUUCUGUGUAGAGCUUUGGCAGAUGGCUCGCACAAGUUUUGGUCGAACAGGGGAGACAACUCACAUCAGGGAAGAUAAAACGAAAAUAAUACUGUUCCUAGAAUCAUUUUGACUGUUAAAAUUGGGUUAUCAAAAGCAGGUUGUAAGACUGGUACUUGAGUCAAAAUCUACCUGUCAACGCUCUGAGUGUAUCGAGUUCCACUCCAUCUUGCACUGCAGCUGCUUUGUGCAACAUGUCUGAGGUCUUGGCUUUGAAUCCCUUCCCAUUAGAAGUUAAAUGCCACAGAGUUCAGCCGCUUCUCUUCAUUAGCAAGUAUACUGAACAAAUCAAGUUAGGGAUCAUAAAUAGUUUUGUUAUAAUGUGAACAGUUUUAAAGAUGUUGAAUGAAAUUUUAUUUCACAUGGAAAAGUAUUCCAUGCUCCCUAACUAUAUUUCUUCAGUAUAUCUCAUCACAAUACCACAAUAUCUGAAUACUCUUUGUUUUGUUGUGAAAUAUGUUGUAUUGCUGUCCAAAGAUGUUAUUAAUUAACCCCUUCGGCUAUUGUUGAUUUCAUGAUUGUCAAGUUGUGUUCAUAAUUUCAAUAUAGCAUAUGUAUAUAUGAUUUGCCAUAUAUUUUCAUUUUUGCCAGUGUGAUAGCAUUCCAUAUGUUGAGAUUGCAUGACACAUGUGAAAGAUGUAUAUAUGUAUUACACAGUUGUACAUAGCACUCAGUUGUUUUGUUUAUUUGAAUUUUUUAAAUCUUGUUUUCGAGAAUUUAUGCGAACCGAAGUUUUCUAUGGUGCAAGCUACAAUGUGCUUUUUUGAGUGUACAUAUCGUGAAUAGUCUGAAGAUGCUGGAAUGGGAACCUAGUCACAGUGUGGAUGUAUGAAUGAACAUUUGUUUCAGUUUAAUAAAUUACAGUAACCAUGGUAACAGAUGUGAUCACUGAUCAUCUGUAGCAUUAGAGAUUUCUUGUGAGGUCCCACCUUAAGUCAGUUUAGCGAAACGAUACGAGAUUUUUAUUUCUCAUUCAAGUCACUCUUUAUAGGUAGAUUCCUGUGGCAUAACUCGUCACGGUUAUUAUUCAUUUUUUUAAUCACUUAACAUGAAUGUGGUAAAACAAUAGUCUGUUUUAAUUCACAUUCCCCAAACAAAAAUUUCAUUGAGUAACAUUUAUACAGCUUUGCGUUAUUGUAGAUCCACAGCAAGAGGUAUAUUAGGGUUCAAGGUAAAUAACGAUGUACAAUGUUACUUACAGCUUAUACAUAAACUACUCACCUGAAACUAGUAUUAUGUAUUAACAUAACUGAGCAUUGAGCAGCAGAUUGGCUCAAAAACUCAAGCAUGACUUGCAGAGUAAGCGUUUGGAUGAUGUUCAUAGAGAGCAAUGCAACAGUUAUGGACAAUGUAAAACUCCCAUGAAGUAGCUGUUUUAAAGGUUUUUACUCUCUGGUGCCAAUUGUCUGCCAAGGUCAAGAUUGAUACACAUUGGAAAAUUUCAGUUGGCAGACAUAGAGAGUAGUGGUGCAAUUAACAGAAUACAGUUUGUGUGGACUGCCAAUUAACUCAAAACUAGUCUUCCUUAAAAUUCCAUUGUGUUGAAAAUAUUUAUCAGAAUACCACAACCAGUAAAAACAAAACAAUAAAAUUAUAUAUGAAUCAUAGGAUCUCCUCUGAAAGCAGAGUUCAUUGUACAAUUCUGAAUAUACCGUAUGUAUGAAUUUCUGUCCACUAUCAAAUAGUGAUGAUACCGGUAAGCAAGUGUGUAUGUUCUACACUACAUUAAUAUAGAACCAAGUGGAGAAUAACGUUUUGUUAGCUUACUUGCAGUGAUUUACCGUUUUAGCGCCACCUGCAGAUAUCCAUGGUGAUUGGAGUAGCGUGUGGGAUAUACAUUAGUAUGCCUAGUUUGUCAUGACAGUCGUCUGCCUGACAAGAGUUACAGUGAUUUACCGUUUUAGCGCCAAGUGCAGUCCAAUAUCCAUGGUGACUGGAAUAGUGUCUGGGAUACAUUAGUAUGCCUAGUUUGUCAUGAAGGUCCUCUGUCUGAUGAGUUACAGUGAUUUACCGUUUUAGCGCCAAGUGCAGUCCAAUAUCCAUGGUGUCUGGGAUAUACGUUAGUAUGUAAUGAUGGUCCUCUGUCCUUUGUCUGACAAGAGUUACAGCAGACAGCCAUGUCCUUUCCGCUUUCAAGAUAGAUAUUUUACAAAAAUUAGGUGAGAUAAGGUAAAAUGAUAGAUAUGAUAAUUAUGAUAAUUAUGAUAAACAUACCCCUGACACCUACUUAAAGAACAUGAACACAAUAACACCAGAUGGUGGGAAGGAUGGAGUCAUGUCAGUAGUACAAAGAAUCAGGUAUUGGGGGGGGAGUCAAAUAUCUAUUGCUUUUGGACUGUUAGAAUAUCAUCCAGGGUGUCCUGCCCCACGUGCCACACGCACAAUUUGCGUUUCUUGCCAUUAGAAAACAUUCAGUUAGAUAAUAAAGUUUGGUGUCUGUUUCAGUAUGUGAUUUUGUAAACCAUUACAAAGGUAUUUCAUUGAGUAAUAAAUACAGGAUACGAUUUCUGGAAAAUGAUAUUUUUAUAAGCAGACAGUGGUGCUGAAAUUUAUAUUAGAAACAAAAAUAUUGUAUUACCUGAUAAUGGUUGUCUUUUGAACAUCGCAUAGAAAAUAAAUGAAAAUAAAAUAAAUGAAAAAGCAUUAAAAAUCUGUAUGAUAGCAGUUACUAAGAUCUUAGCAGAUCUAACCAAGGCAGUAAUAUAGGUGGAAUAUUGCUGAAACCAGAGUAAGACCUUACUCAGUCACUGAUCAGGGAAUGGCUGUGAUUGGCCAAUCUAUUUCCAUGACAACCAAUCACUGUCAUUUAGUCCAACAUGAUAUAUUCCUGAUAUGGAAUUACUGCUCUACAGGUAUGAUUACAAUACAGUCUAAGGAUAUGAUAAUCAAAAUAACAUAUUCAGUAUUGUUAAAUUAUCUUUUCAGCUUUGUUUGGGGUAUUUUUGGUACUUUUCGUGUUUUUGUUCUUUGAGGAUUUCUUUUAAAGCUGCAAGGUAUGGACACUGUGUGAAUGUGGUAGAUAGUGCUGAAUAUAGUAGAAUGAUAGUGCUUCAGUAGAUUGACAUUUCAUCGAGAAAUAUUCAUAUGAAUAUCACUUGCUUUACCAGCUUGAUUUUGUGGAGUAUUGUCCGUCCGUAUAUGGUCAAUUACUGCUUGUAACUUGAAUCAAGAUAUCACUUCUGUUUUCUUUAACAACAAAGAUCCACCUUAAGAUACACUAACAAGGUUGUCCGGAAUACACACUGGGAUAUUAAACAGAGUUACUCUGACACCUAAUUGACAUAAUAUAAUUACUUUGUAGGUUUUUAAUAUUUAAUAGAAACUCAACCCCUAGUUUUAAGCUCUAGGUUUUAAGAAAUUCCUUUUUCUAUUUUCUGGUGAAGAAUUAUUUCAAAUUAAAAGUAAUAGGGUUUUCUUUCAAACUUCUUUCCUUUCUGUUUUGAAGAUCUAAGGAGGGUUCUUGAUAUAAUUAUGAUAAAGGGUCUGAGUGCACCCAAAGGCAACAGUUAUUGUGACAGACAAACAACACACUGAAUCAGUGUUAAACUGUUACUGCCACAAAUGAAAUGUCUUUACUUCAGAAGACAAAUACGGUAAUGAACAGCCCUCUUGGCAUACAGAGAGGGUUCAAGGCAAGCUCACACAGUCAGUAGCCAGUGUGUCCACCUUAUGCAUUGAUGCAGGUUUGGCACCUUCACCUCACUGAGGCCACUAAAAGUCCUGGGAGAAGAUCCAUAUCAGAGGAAGGAGUUGGUGGUGUUCCAACAGCUUUGUUGGAGGAUUUGGAUGACAUCGGAAACAUUGCUCCAUUUCAUCCAUACUUGUUCAGUGGGUGACAAAUCAUGGGAUCCUGUGAGCCGGUGUAGGAAAUUUGACUUGUCUGUGAAGAGAACUCUUCUUCACACAAACUCCAGUCGCCCAUGUUCUGGUGUAAGAAUGGUGCUUCGUGUGGGCUUCUUGCUCAGAUGCUGUAAAUGCGUAGACACUGUCAAACUGUUCUCGCUGAUGCACUGCAUGGCAUGUCGAACUUCUUACAAAAUGAAUUGAGGUGUUUUUCCUACUUCUCAAGACUGUGUUGAGUGGAAAUGAUAAGCCUCUGGUUUUCUGACCUUUUCAAGUAAACAGUGCUUCCAAUUUUCAUGGAAAUUGAGCAAUUGCUUGAUUGCAUUUCUUUGACUGUUUUAACACGCUCUUUUUCUGGUUCAAAUAUAAAUAUUCAUUCGCAAGAAAAUAUUCUAUGUCACAAUAACUUUUGCCUGUGAGUAUAUGUUACUUAGAGUUAUCUGCCCUAUUCAUGGGCUAGAUUCAGAAGAAAGACCCGAUACCAAGGAGAGCAACUGAUGAAGCAGUACCUGAAAUGACUUAAUCCCUUCUCUUCUUUGUAGCAAGACCCAAGAUAGUAAAUUUUAAAUUGCAUUCUCCAUACCCGCUGUAGGAAAGAAUUUAGUGGCAUCUGAUAGAAGUUCUUUUUACCUUUUAAAUACUCAUUUAAUAAGUCAUGAUAAAAAUGAUAUAAUCACAUCUCAGGUAGAUAUUCUUGGAUAAUUAACUUUCCUACAAUAUAUUUCUAUCCUGUAAUAUAUUUCUUUCCUAUAUAUCACUAUUCACAUAUUCUCUGCACAGACUGAAUAUCCAAUAUCAUUUUUGUCAUUGUGUGACAACGAACAAUAACUGGAUUCACUCAAAAUACUUAAUUCAAAUCUCAUGAAAGAAAUUUUGGAAGUUACUUUUUGUUAUAAACUUAAUUUGAUCCCCACUAGGGGAUACAGAGAAAUAAAACCUUUAUUCUGUCUAGACUUUUCUUCUAAAUAUAAUUAUAUCAUGUUGACUUAUGAAUAAAUGACUAUGUACACAAUGAAUAAAUGUGUUCAAUGA